UAGGGAAUCUUCCGCAAUGGGCGAAAGCCUGACGGAGCAACGCCGCGUGAGUGAUGAAGGUCUUCGGAUCGUAAAACUCUGUUAUUAGGGAAGAACAAAUGUGUAAGUAACUAUGCACGUCUUGACGGUACCUAAUCAGAAAGCCACGGCUAACUACGUGCCAGCAGCCGCGGUAAUACGUAGGUGGCAAGCGUUAUCCGGAAUUAUUGGGCGUAAAGCGCGCGUAGGCGGUUUUUUAAGUCUGAUGUGAAAGCCCACGGCUCAACCGUGGAGGGUCAUUGGAAACUGGAAAACUUGAGUGCAGAAGAGGAAAGUGGAAUUCCAUGUGUAGCGGUGAAAUGCGCAGAGAUAUGGAGGAACACCAGUGGCGAAGGCGACUUUCUGGUCUGUAACUGACGCGGAUGUGAGAAAGCGUGGGAAUCAAACAGG
rnacentral:rRNA from 1 species